ACGACUAGGUAUACGUGUCAGCAGCCGCGGUAACACCGGCAGCCCAAGUGGUAGCCACGAUUAUUGGGUCUAAAAGCGUCCGUAGCCGGGCCAGGUAAAGUUCUUUGGGAAAUUUAACCGCUCAACGGUUAAGCUUUCAGGGAAUACUGCUUGGCUUGGGACCGGGAGAGGUCAGAGGUACUUCAAGGGUAGGGGUGAAAUCCGUUAAUCCUUGAGGGACCACCAGUAGCGAAGGCGUCUGACCAGACCGGGUCCGACGGUGAGGGACGAAGGCUAGGGUCGCGAACCGGAUUAGAUACCCGGGUAGUCCUAGCUGUAAACGAUGCGGGCCAGGUGUUGGCAUUACUGCGAGUGAUGUCAGUGCCGAAGGGAAGCCGUUAAGCCCGCCAUCUGGGGAGUACGGUCGCAAGGCUGAAACUUAAAGGAAUUGGCGGGGGAGCACAACAAGGGGUGCGGCGUGCGGUUUAAUCCAACUCAACACGGAGAAUCUCACCAGAGGCGACGGCAGAAUGAAAGUCAGACUGAAGGUCUUACUUAACAAGCCGAGAGGUGGUGCAUGGCCGCCGUCAGCUCGUGCUGUGACGGCUCAUUUUUUGAGUCGCAGCAAAAGUGUCCUGUUAAGUCAGGCAACGAGCGAGACCUGUACCUACAAUUGCCAGCAACAUCUUUAGAUGGAUUGGGCACAUUGUAGGGACUGCCUUGGAAACAAGGAGGAAGGUGCAGGCAACGGUAGGUCUGUAUGCCCCGAAUCCUCUGGGCUACACGCGCGCAACAAUGGUAUGGACAAUGGGAUGCAACUCCGAAAGGAGAAGCUAAACCUCUAAACCAUAUCCCAGUCCAGAUCGUGGUUUGUAACUCAGCCACGUGACGUUGGAAUCCCUAGUAACCAGAUUUUAGCAUAAUCCGGUGAAUAUGUCCCUGCUCC
rnacentral:rRNA from 1 species